GCCGAGGUCUCCUAGCCCGGCAGGGAGCAAGCCUGGAGAGCUUGUGGUCUUUCGGGGCCACGGGGGUUCAAAUCCCCCUCUCGGCGCCA
rnacentral:tRNA from 1 species